AGUUUGCCCAAGUAUCAAAUUGAAGUUGGGAAACUCUUUAUAUAAGUUAUCUAUCAAUUCUAUAAAACAAUACAUUUUUGAGAGCCCACAUCAAUUCUCUAUCCUACGUGGCGCUCUCAAAAGUCUCUAUUUCGAUUUAUCUAAAUUCUACAUUUUACUCCUUUGAAAAAACUCAGCUUCUCACAGUAAUCAAUCUGCAAAUACCUUGAUUUGGUAUUUUCUCCCCAUCGCUUGAUCUAUGGUGCAAAUUUCUCUCUCCAUAUCAAUGCAAAUGCCCUAAUUUGGUAUCUAACGCUUUACCAUAGGAGCCUCCGAGGCAUGCCAGCUCUUCUCUGACGCCCUACCAUAUAUGCGGCCUGUCUUGCUCUCCCAUCGCCUCUCUCCCACUCCCAAAUCUAUAAUCCUAAGUCGCCGCGAGCUUCGUCUCCUCCAGUCGCCGCCGCCGCCGGCUGCAACUCACCAGGCAAUGCCCCAUUCUUUUCAACAUUGAGCUCAAACACGUUUGGUUCCAGAACCGCAGGAAUUAGGAAAUGAACAAUCUACGAUGCCUAAUCCACGCCAGUCACCGGCGUGAGGAAAAAGCCAUUCGCCAACCCAUUGGCUGACAUUUUCAAGUUUUGAGGCUAUGUGGGAAUCCAUAGUUCAGGAUUCAGAGACUUCCUGUUGAAGCCUGAGCUUUAGAGGGGUGUUGUCUUGAACAGGAAGCAAAAAGACAGCCUCUAGCAACGAGGUUGACAAGAAAAGCAAUUCUUGCUGCUGCAGCUAUUAAUUGAACCAAGUUGAACCCAGCAUCACCAUGAUUCUUUAAUGCUAUGACUGUAUUAUAUGAUUUGUUAGCUACAAAAUCACUACCCUCAUGCCGUCAUGGUUUUUAUUAUUUUUCACGAAAUUGGUUGUUUAUUGUUAUUAAUUGAUAAACUAAGAAUGAAUGCAUGUAUGUAUACCACAAAAGAUGAAAAUGUAUGAUCAUCUAUUUGUAAUUUGUUUAUUCAAUGAAUCGGCCAAUGCGGUUUUUAACCUUUGGAAUAAA